GCCGACUUAGCUCAGUAGGUAGAGCAACUGACUU
rnacentral:tRNA from 1 species